UGACACUGGAUUUUUAAUUUCUUGGCCUUUGGUAUCUGUUACACCAUUAUAGAAAAAUUCCAUUCUCUCGCUGUCUCUUUGUCUCUCUGUCUCUUUCUGUCUCUCUGCUUUUCUCUCUCUCUCUCUCUCUCUCUCUCUCUCUCUCUCUCUCUCUCUCUCUCCCUUCCUCCCUCCCUCUCUCCCUCUCCCUCUCCCUUUCUCCCUUUCCCUCUCCCUCUCCAUCUCCCUCUCCAUCUCUAUCUCCCUCUAUGUGUGGGUGGAGGACAUGAAUAUGAGUGUGUUUAUUUAAGAAAGCUUCAAAUGGAGUAGGCAGUUGAUAGUAGGCACUUUGCUUUAAUAAUAUCAUCCCUGAUAGGCUAACCACACUCUUAUGGGAGGCUACUGUGGGUGUUGGAGCUCAUCUUCAUAUCUUCAUACCAUUCUCUAUGGAAGCACUACUCUACCACUUUACACAGGCAACAAAAAAUUCACAGAGAAGCACAAAAAUGUUUUUUUGGAAGCAUUUUAGCAUUUCAUCCUAAUGCUGGUUCUUGUUCUGGAAGAUGGAUGAUAUAGAGUAGAAUAUGUGUAUUCUGCAAAGAAGACUAAACAAGAAGAACAUAAUGAGCUAUGAACCUUCCACUCCAACUCUUACUAAUAGUGGACAGUGCUUUGGAGAAUUGAGAGCCGCAGAUCAAGAAGUUCAUAAUGUCAUCCACAUAAGUUGAGGUUGCUUUUUUUUUUUUUUUGCCUAUAAUGAUUUAUGAGUAGAUUUGAGAUUUGAAAAUAA